GAUCGGUCCCGAGGUGGAGAGAUCGCGGGUCCAGCCAGCACGCAGUCGGUCGGCCGGCGAUCGCGCGACGUCGCGUUGCUCUCUCGCGGACGAUCCGGUCGACGUUCCUCCGUUUGUCGAAUUGCUCGCGAAUGCCAAAUGCCAGAAAAAAGGAAGACGAGAGCGCGCGGCUGAAGAACGACGGCAGGAGCGCGGGUGGAGGAGGCGUCAGACGAAGAAGGAGGCGGCGAUUGUGCGUGCUGUAAUCAGCGGAGUCGUGUAACGUCGUCGUGCUGUCGUCCUCCGGACAACCGGAGGAAACACGGAUGGCCUGUACGCGUCACUGCACGGUAGAGCGAACAACAGAAUAAUGGCCACGGUAUGCUGGAUCGUCGAGGGGGCCAAAAGCAGGCCCCCAAGUUCGGGUGGAACCCGCUGGUCCGGCAAAUAAAACACUCGACGCCUUGCACUCGCUCUCUGUCUCUCUCCUGUCUCCCCGCGGUCCCUCUGACUGUCCUCUCGGUCAGCUGUCCGUCUUUAUCGCACGAAUCCCCACCCACUAAUACAUCGCUCUCUCGCUUCCUUUGUAUCUGCUCUCUCCGUUGCUGUAUCUUUCUUCUAUCUCCGGUUGGAGAAGAUAUCACGACUUGUCACCAAUCGAGUCUUUCCUUUCACACUCGGAAUUCGAAGUAGCCGGAAUGUUAUGGUAAACUUUAUUACGUCCAGCGUGAGAACGUGAGCGUCCGAAUUUGCUUGGAAUCGAAAUAAAAAUUGUUCAGAGGAAGGUAGCUCGAAUUCAAGAAUAUUGUAGUCUCGAAUUUGACACCCUUUAUGUGAAGAUUUCUUUUCUCUUAUCGUACUUUGCUCGAAUCUUUAAGACUUUCGAAGAACUGAAGUCCCCGAACUUGAGAUAGAACACUGUGUUUCCAAAUUUUGAACGACGCAUCGUUCAGAAAUAGAAUUCAGCGGCGCCGAAACUUCAUCAUUCACACGUCAGUAGAUGCUUUCACGAAUCGGAUCCGGUGUAUUGCGCUCGGGCAUCCGGAACGGAUUCAACAAUCGCGCGAACUAUUCGAGCGAUUUAUCGGCGAGCGCACGCUCGAUUGACGUUUAUCUCUCUCGCACUGACGUUUUCGGUAACACAGCACUAGCUCCGGUACUCGUUCUAUCGCUCCAGCGCGAGAGUCUCGAACGAGACGCACGGAUGGAAUUCUGCGCGAGUCGUAUGGACAACGCGGGAUCGACGAUCGAUCGAUCAGCAUUUACGCGCUGCUCUCGCGCCUUACGAUCCCUUCGGCAACGAUCCUCCCCUCAGAUCACCCACGCCCAUGGAUGGCAUCAGGAGGUCCCGCAAACGAUCUCGCGCGAAUCUCGGACGAAACGUGAGCGAUGAAAGUGUCGCGCGGCCGCCGAUCGCCGAUCCAGACUGAGCGCGAAUGGCGAGCGUGAAAUAAGCACGGGCUGUCGGCCGCGUUACGCUCUCGACCGCGCGAAACUGACGGCGAAUGUCCCGGAUCGGUAUGGUGUCGAGACCCAAGACAAAACGAAAGGAACGUCGAGGCAUUAGCGACAAUCCCAGCUGGUUCCUCAUUCCGUGGCUCUCGGAUUCCCAGACAGCUUUUACUUGGCGUUAAACGAGACGCAACACGAUUGUAAAGUGUUAGUAGUUAUCAUUCAGUAUGUAUACUUGUCGAAGGCUGACGAUACACACGCAUGCAUGGACAUACGUAACAUGCAAUAUCGGAUCAU